rnacentral:tRNA from 1 species
UCCCUGGUGGUCCAAUGGUUAAGAUUUUGUGCUUUCACUGCCAAGGGCCUGGGUUCAAUCCCUAGUUGGGGAA